AUUUUUUGGCAAUCUCCCUUCCAACAGCCUCCAAAUCUGAGGGUAUUGAUGCUCCUCCAUUUCCAAAAACUCGUUCUCUGAUAAUAAACCAGCAUUCAUCAUUCAAUAGUUCUCCUAUUUUGUGCCUGCAAUGAAGAGGAGUCUCCACCAUGGAUGCCACCUGCUCGCUGCGAGUUGUAACAACAAUAGCGUUUCCUUUGUUCACACAAAUAGUUAACAAACGACUCUUCAAACUCUCCCACUUCUCAGAUUCCUCAUUCCACACAUCAUCAAGUAUGAGAAG
rnacentral:misc_RNA from 1 species